UACGUAGGGUGCGAGCGUUAAUCGGAAUUACUGGGCGUAAAGUGUGCGCAGGCGGCUUCGCAAGUCGAGUGUGAAAUCCCCGAGCUUAACUUGGGAAUUGCGCUCGAAACUACGGAGCUGGAGUGUGGCAGAGGAAGGUGGAAUUCCACGUGUAGCAGUGAAAUGCGUAGAGAUGUGGAGGAACACCGAUGGCGAAGGCAGCCCCCUGGGUUAACACUGACGCUCAGGCACGAAAGCGUGGGGAGCAAACAGG
rnacentral:rRNA from 1 species